rnacentral:rRNA from 1 species
UACGGAAGGGGCAAGCGUUGUUCGGAAUUAUUGGGCGUAAAGGGCGUGUAGGCGGCUUCAUAUGUCUGUGGUGAAAACAUACAGCUCAACUGUAUUAAGCCGCGGAAACUGUGGAGCUUGAGGCUGGGAGGGGCUGGUGGAAUUCCCUGUGUAGCGGUGAAAUGCGUAGAGAUGGGGGAGAACACUCGUGGCGAAGGCGGCCAGCUGGACCAGUACUGACGCUGAGACGCGAAAGCGUGGGGAGCAAACAGG